AUGACAGCAUCUCUGUACACUUUAGGAUCGUGGCUUUCCACCUACAACUCCCAACAAGCACUUUCUAAACAAAUGAAAUUAAAGAAAAUAUCAGAGUGCAUCCAACAGAUGUUUGAACGGAACAGAUUGGGGACUCUUUCAGCCUCCGACAACCGUCUGGUUUCCUCUCCACUUGCAACCUCUGGGACCAUCUUCUCGGCCAUCUCCUGCUUAUGGGAACUGCCAAUACCGUUUUUGUGGUUAGCUCCUUCUUGCCAACCAACCACGAACUUCCAGAUUCGUCAGAAUUAUUCCACCAACAUGAGGCGGCCGUCAACCACCUGGUCAAUUUGCACCUGCUGGCCUCCUACACCUGCCUCUCUCUGAGCUUCUAUUUCGACUGUAAUGAUGUGGCUCUGGAAGGCAUGAGCCACUUCUUCCGUGAAUUGGCCAAGGAGAAGUACGAGCAUCUCCUGAAGAUGCAAAACCAGUGUGGUGGCCACGCUCUCCUCCAGGACAUCCAGAAGCCAGCUCAAGAUAAGCAGGAUAAAACCCUGGAUGUCGGCCGGGCACACGGUGGCUCAUGCCUAUAAUCCCAGCACUUUGGGAGGCCGAGGUGGGUGGAUCACGAGGUCAAGAGACCGAGACCAUCCUGGUCAGCAUGGUGAAACCCCAUCUCUACUAAAUACAAAAAUUAGCUGGGCAUGGGGGUGUGCGCCUGUAGUCCCAGCUACUUGGGAGGCUGAGGCAGGAGAAUUGCUUGAACCCAGAAGGCGGAGGUUGCGGUGAGCUGAGAUCAUGCCAUUGCACUCCAGUCUGGGUAACAACAGAGAAACUCCAGCGCAAAAAAAAAAAAAAAAAAGAAAAGAAAAGAAAAGGAAAAAUUUCUGGAAAUAAAUGAAAUUAAAAGUGCAUAAAAUAUGAGUUAUUAAAAUACUGCUAAAUCAUAUUAGAUAAUUUCUCUUCCUCUUUACACUUUUCAGAAGAAAAGGUCAAUGGCACUUAUGAUCAUUAGGCAAUGUGUAAAGCAUUUGAUGUGCGUAAUCUUAUCACAUCAGCACAAAUGUCACACAAUCCAAAGAACAUUUUUGGCUCCAACUUACAGAUGAAUAAGCAGGCUUAGGGAGGAUCCUGCCUGAUAGACACUUAGCAACAGAGAGGGCCAGGAAUGGGGUUCUGUAAUCUCAGUCUGCGCUCAUUUUGCUGGAAGCCACAUUUGUAGAUACUGGUACUUAUCUGAGCCUAAUCCCCAGAAUCUCUAUGGUCAAUUGGAAAAAGGCUUAAGGAGGGUCAGGGGAUAGAUAGGUCUUGGCCAGAGUCCACCUCACAGUGGGUCAGGUGGGAUUCCAGGCACACUGUGUGGCUAUUUUGCCAGCCUUGCUGUCCUUAUUCAAGGAAUGUGGUCUGUCAUGGUGGGAAUGACCAGCUAGAGUCCUUGAAAAGGCCAGCUACAACCAAGAUAAUAACCUAAAACAAUUCUGUGCCCGAGGACAUUGCAGAGAUUAGUUCCAUAAAGAUUUGAAAGGUGCAGGGCUAGUGCUUUCCAUAACACCACUAUUACUUCACCUAUUUGGUCAAUGCAGGAGGCAAAUGGUGGUGGGGAAUGAAGGUGGACUAACACAAACAUAUUCGUGGGUUUCCCUAUCCUACCCAUAGCAUUUCUGCCAGCACCACUACUUGUAGAUUUACAUAUGCUUACUCCAUUGCAAUGAUGUCUUACAUACUAAUUAUUUGGCCAUGGGACAUGUUUUCAUGAUAAAAGGUGUUAGGCAAUGGGCCACAGCUGUGGAGUUUCCUGCUCACCACAUGCCACAUCUCCUAGCAGCAGGCAGCUUCACAGAACGGUGGAAAGACCUGCCGCGGCCUUGAUUAUGGCGGCAGUGUGGGCUCCACACCUAAGACUUUACAACAUGUAGUGAACCUGUGGAUGCCUCUCAGAAUUUCCCAUCAGGACCUAGGCCACCAUUCCAUGAGCUGCUAGAGUAUGAACUGCUAAUGAUUCACUGGUGAAACCUCUUCCAAGAAUGUCCUUGGCCCACUGGAAUAGUCUUACUCGAGGUCAUGCACCCUUCCCAGUGUGGGGACACACAGCCUGUUCUAAGGAUACGUAGUACUUCUGUCCAUAAUGGCAAAUGAUGUUGCCAUUG
rnacentral:lncRNA from 1 species